rnacentral:rRNA from 1 species
AUUGAACGCUGGCGGUAUGCUUAACACAUGCAAGUCGAACGGUAGCAGGCCUCGGGCGCUGACGAGUGGCGGACGGGUGAGUAAUGCAUAGGAAUCUGCCUAUUAGUGGGGGAUAACGUGGGGAAACUCACGCUAAUACCGCAUACGCCCUACGGGGGAAAGCGGGGGACUUUCGGGCCUCGCGCUAAUAGAUGAGCCUAUGUUGGAUUAGCUAGUUGGUAGGGUAAAGGCCUACCAAGGCGACGAUCCAUAGCUGGUCUGAGAGGAUGAUCAGCCACACUGGGACUGAGACACGGCCCAGACUCCUACGGGAGGCAGCAGUGGGGAAUAUUGGACAAUGGGCGAAAGCCUGAUCCAGCAAUUCCGCGUGUGUGAAGAAGGCCUGAGGGUUGUAAAGCACUUUCAAUAGGAAGGAAUACCUAUCGGUCAAUACCCGAUAGACUGACAUUACCUAUACAAGAAGCACCGGCUAACUCCGUGCCAGCCGCCGCAGUAAAAC